AUUUCGAAACUUGAUACGCGACCGACUAUCAGCAAAGAUAUCUGUUGCAACAGAUUUUUGAAGAGGCGUACGACUCAGUAAAGGGUUUGACCGAUGAAAAAGUUGUCUCUCUAUCAGAGUUAUACAGCCCAAAUCAAGUUGAAAGCCUUGGCAAAUUAGUCGAUUUCAGUCGAUUUUUCGUACAUUUAAUAGACCACGCUCUUCAUCGCCUAUAACGACCGGACGCGAAAUUCCGUGAUUAUUGCUGAAUCGAAGGCAUCGACCUUCUUUCAUCUUUAAGCAUCAUGUACUUGGAACCACAGGAACUUUAUUAUAUUUGCGCCUUUCUGUUUGCCGUCUUCCUGCUCGUCGUCGUCGUCCUGCUCGUCGUCCUGCUCGUUGCCCUGCUUGAUCGGAAACGAAAUUAUGGUGAAGGCGAAGGCGAACCCCAAAACCCCAACAAUGUCGUCAAGUAUGAAGCGUUGAGCAAAUCUAGCCUUAUCUUGAGAAAAAGAGGAGUAUCCCCUGCAGUACCGUUUUGGCCUUGGGACCAUUGAGCUACCACUGGAGGCGCUGCGGAGCACUUUCUGAAUGAGAAUCCACCUAAUUCCGCGAAGUUAUCUGUUAUCUUCUCGAAUAUGGUUUAUUUUUUAUUCUUCGAUUUCCAAAGUCUUUCUGCACCCUUAUAUUCAUUGCUUGUUGUAUUAGUCGUUUUUACAAUAUAACAUAAGGCAGUUAUCAAAUCUACUGCAUUACAUCAGUUCAACAUGA